rnacentral:tRNA from 1 species
GCCUUCGUGGUGUAAUGGUCAAGCACGCUCGACGUGUAUUCGAUAGGUCCGUUGUUCGAGUCCCGGCGAGGGUA